GCCUACGGGGGGCAGCAGUAGGGAAUCUUCCACAAUGGGCGAAAGCCUGAUGGAGCAACGCCGCGUGGGUGAAGAAGGUCCUCGGAUCGUAAAACCCUGUUGUUAGAGAAGAAAGUGCGUGAGAGUAACUGUUCACGUUUCGACGGUAUCUAACCAGAAAGCCACGGCUAACUACGCGCCAGCAGCCGCGGUAAUACGUAGGUGGCAAGCGUUAUCCGGAUUUAUUGGGCGUAAAGGGAACGCAGGCGGUCUUUUAAGUCUGAUGUGAAAGCCUUCGGCUUAACCGGAGUAGUGCAUUGGAAACU
rnacentral:rRNA from 1 species